rnacentral:rRNA from 1 species
AUGCGCCUCAACACUGAAGCCAUUGCUGGACUGCCAUGCUUAGAAGAAGCACUUGACUGCUUUCGUGAUGCAGGUCUGCUCAGCUUUGUGACAGACAAAGAACAUUGGAAUGAGGAACUUUUGCUUCAAUUCUAUGCUACCCUCCACAUUCGCGGCUACUAUAGGGAUACAAAGACAUGGUUUCUCGAGUGGAUGACAGGAAAUGUUCAUUAUGAAGCCAAAGCUCUUGACGUCAUUGAGCUUACAGGCCUACCCACUCCCGAAGAGUUGUUCGAACCUGAUUGUCAACUCCACCGCAAUGCACUGGAGAGCAUCUUCCAUAAGACAGAGCCUAACAUGAGCCAGAUGUUGAGCAUGAUGAAGCCUCUGCCAUCUGACGCUGAAUACCCAAAGGAGUUCUUUGUUGAUGACCUUGAGUAUCUGCCUCGCACAAUAUAUCACAUCAUCAGGCGAACUCUAUGGCCUAGCAAAGGGCAUUCAUCAGCUGCAAAACUUGAAGGAGCUAUGAAUACAUUGGUCCUUUACAUCCUCAAUGGCAUCAGCUUCAAUACACAACAAUUCUUCAUCCCGCAACUGGCUGCGUCUGGAUCUGACAUUUUUGGCCUGAAAUUGUAUGCUCCAUGGGUCAUGCGCCUCAUCAAGCUACACUCUACUAUCAAUUAUCAGCCCUCUGCUCGCAAUCAUCUGAUCUUUCUACCAGAGGUUGAUAUGUCAGUUGAAGCCAUAUACCCUGAGCCUACCAAGAAGCCUCUUUGUCUUCAAAAUGCUGAUCACCAAAGCUUCACUCAACCCAUGGAAGGAGUCCAAGCAGUAACUCAUGUCUAUCCAAUGGCUGGGAACACUCGUCUGCCUCACCGUUCGCAAACUUAA